rnacentral:rRNA from 1 species
AGAACGAACGCUGGCGGCAGGCUUAACACAUGCAAGUCGAACGGUUGUAGCAAUACAGCAGUGGCAGACGGGUGAGUAACACGUGGGAACCUUCCUAGGGGUACGGAACAACUCAGGGAAACUUGAGCUAAUACCGUAUACGUCCGUGAGGAGAAGGAUUUAUCGCCCCUAGACCGGGCCCGCGUAGGAUUAGGUAGUUGGUGAGGUAACGGCUCGACCAAGCCUACGAUCCUUAGCUGAUCUGAGAGAUGAUCAGCCACACUGGGACUGAGACACGGCCCAGACUCCGUACGGGAGCAGCAGGUGGGAAUCUUGGACAAGUGGGCGACAAGCCUGACUCCAGCCAGUCGCCGCGUGAGUAGAAGACGGCGUUCGGGUAGUAAGUCGUUACGUUUACCGAGGUACGAGUUAAGUCGG